UACGUAGGGUGCAAGCGUUAAUCGGAAUUACUGGGCGUAAAGCGUGCGCAGGCGGUUCGUUGUGUCCGAUGUGAAAGCCCCGAGCUCAACUUGGGAAUGGCAUUGGAAACUGGCGGGCUGGAGUGUGGCAGAGGGGGGUGGAAUUCCACGUGUAGCAGUGAAAUGCGUAGAGAUGUGGAGGAACACCGAUGGCGAAGGCAGCCCCCUGGGCCAACACUGACGCUCAGGCACGAAAGCGUGGGGAGCAAACAGG
rnacentral:rRNA from 1 species